rnacentral:tRNA from 1 species
GCUUCGGUGGGCAAACUGGUAAAGCCGCAUCAUUAAGGAUGAUGUGUUUGAGGAUUCGACUUCCUCCCGAAGCACCA